rnacentral:ncRNA from 1 species
CACUCUGGAGAGUCCCCUUACCGGGGCGCCGAAGGUGUAACACAGUGCAACAAAGGCGUUGCGCUGCCUAUCUCUCAGGCACAAAGGACAGAGC